rnacentral:rRNA from 1 species
UACGGGGGGGGCAAGCGUUGUUCGGAAUUACUGGGCGUAAAGGGCUCGUAGGCGGCCAACUAAGUCAGACGUGAAAUCCCCAGGCUCAACCUGGGAGCUGCGUCUGAUACUGGAUGGCUUGAAUUCGGGAGAGGGAUGCAGAAUUCCAGGUGUAGCGGUGAAAUGCGUAGAUAUCGAGAGGAACACCUGCGGCGAAGGCGGGUUGCUGGGCUGACACUGACGCUGAUGCGCGAAAGCCAGGGGAGCGAACGGG